rnacentral:lncRNA from 1 species
GACCAUAAUCACAUUAUGAACAUGUACAAACUUACGAUAAUGGGUAACAAGUGCAGGGGCGGAGAGCUCGCAACUUAGCCUUUUGUUCCCAUACAAUGUCCUCGUGAAAUGUGCAUCCUUGUUCUGGGACCUUUUGCCCUGGCACGACGCAAAUUGUUUGCCAUAAAGAUGCCAAGAUUUGGUCCCGGUCAUCUUGAUCCAGAGGC